UCAACGGAAGGCGGCGCGGGGGGCAGAGGCGCAUCAGUCUGGGGGGGACCCGGGCGGGGGGCGUUGGGGAAGCCGCGGCCUGGACCGGGACCCACAGCGGCGGCUCCACCUGGGGCAGGGCUCUGACCCGCACUCGGCCUGCGGUGUGCACGUCUAGUAGGAGACAAUCACUAAUUGCCUGCUGACUAGAUCGUCAAACAAAAUUCUGAUGACCAGCUGGCUCUAAUUAUUGUCAUUCCUUUGCAGGCCAAGUAUCCCAAAUAGAGUCUGGCAUAGAGAAGUCAAUAGAUGCUUGUGGAAUUGAAUCAGCAUGGACAUGAAGACAGGCAGAGAGCAGGGAGCAGGAGAGGGAGACACAGACUCCUCAAGCACACUCGGCCCCAAGCGCAGAGCCUGCCAGGGGCUGGUUCCCAGGAUGCUGAGGCCAUGACCUGAGCCACAACCAAGAGUCAGAUGCUAAGUGACAGAGCCACAGGCGUCAAGCCCCGUGUUCCUGCUGUGGGCACUCCUGCCUUCCCCCUGCCCCCCGCAGCCACUGAGAGCUCGGGCUUUGGUCUGCGCUCCAACUCCCAGGUGGUCUGGAGGCUACAGUGCAGGCUGCACGUCUCCUCUGUCCCACCUCAGGCUGAAAGGGCCUCAGCCCUGAGAAGGAAUCAUAUCUGCCCAACCACCCCCAGCCGGAGGGAGCUGCUGGAGCAGCAGGUAGAAGAACUGGUGCCUGCCUUGCUGCACAUUGACUCCUUGUCCAUAUUUGAAUUCCUAAAUGUUUUGGAGGAAUAUGGCACCCCUGAAGAGGUGCUGGACCUGCUGUUUGCAAAGUGAACACCCUGACUCCACAGCCCAGUGGGAUGGGCCACCUACUUGUUGGGAGUCUUGGGGAAUGUUCCUGAACUUCCCGGCCCCUGGGGCUGCUCCUCCGACUGGAGUAGAGUCAUGCAGGGCCUAAUUGGGUCCCGCAGGGCAGCCCCCGGGCCUGGCCUGUGACAGGUCGGCUAGAGGGGCUGUGCUUGUGCUCAGCAGUCGUCGUUCUGUCCCCAUGACGAAGCCUGUGCCGCCUCCCCACCGUCACCAGGGUCUUGAGCUGGCCUGUUUUACCAUGGAAAGGGAGUUUUGAGUCCAUCUGGGGUCUGUAUCCUGGGGCAUUCGCAGUAGGGGUCCCCGGGGACACCGGGGCGCCCAGGCCCACUUGGAUAUCGGCCAUGGGCCUGGCCGGAGCCCUUUCAUUCCUCAAGCAUUCAGGAAGCGCCAGCAGGUGCAGGAGCUUCUCCAGGAGCUGCCCAUGGCCCCACGCACAGAGCUGACGGCCCCCCAGGGCUCCGGACUAGUCAGAGGUCAGAGGGUGACAGCAGCUAUGAGGAGAGAUCGGGUCCACAGGACGAUUCAUGUGAUGCCCCCCGCCCUCCUCUGGAUAUCGAUGCAUUGUAGCUUCCUGCAAGAAGGAAGGAAUCCUGGACCAGUGGGAAAUCAUUCAUCAACAUCAGAAAGUCAAAUUGUUGGAAUCUCUCAUACUGGGGAUUUUCUGCCCAGGAAAGCAGAAUAAAAAGAUCUGUCAAGAGAGCAUAGACUAUGGCCUGCCUGCGACACCCCAAGUUUUGGCUCAAGUGUCAGUCACACCGGUUUGGAACCCACUGCCUGCCUAUCUACUUCCCUGUCUGGCCUACAGUAUCCUUACGGGAAAAAUAGACAUAAUAUCACUGACCACUCCAUGUUCAUGGAGGGACCUAAGUGAUGCACAAGGGCUUUGGAGAGUGUAGUAAGUUAACCAGCUGGAGGCAUGCACGUCCCACUUUGCCCACACCUGCUUCAGAUCCAUUCUCUUGGUGCGCAGCCCCUGACUGCAGCACAGCCCUUUCACUGAUCUUUGCCUAGUAAGGGGCAAAACUACAGGUUAUCCCAAGGCCUAGGGACUCCUCGAUAUUUCUUCUGUCUGCUAUUUCCUGGGGUCAGUCUCCAACCUCGCACCCGGGGCCCUGUCCCUGGCUGGUGAGCCCGCUGACACGCCCGGAGGGAGGGGCACACAUAUUUCAUAAUGGGCAUUGAGCCAGGGGAUGAUGCGGGGCUGGCGUGGGACAUAAAGACUGGGGUAAGUCUGAGCUUAUGUCCAGUUACUCAUUUGGUCAAGAUGAGUAACUAGCCAAACGCCGUUUGGAGAAAUGACCAAAAAGCUGCCUCGGAUCUCCUGUUCUCGACCCCAGGCUCCACCUGCCUACUCUAUUCCUUCCUCCUCUGGACCCUGCCCUCCACCUAUCUACUCUAUUCCUCCCGCCUCUCGUUGUCCUUCCUCCUCUCAUCGUCAUCCAAAGCCGCUUCCUCUUGUGUCCAUUUACACCCCCAACACUCCCCAGGAUUGUCCACCUCUCUCAACUCACAGGCCUACCUGUUUCCCUCCUGUUCCUAGUGCUUUCCUUUCUAGCCGCGCUAACCUACAGGUUUCCCCACGCACUCCUUGCUCUAUUCCUUCCAAAAGGUCCAGUCCCCGCUGUUUUUGUCUCGCUCCUGUUCCCUGUUUCCCCACUGUCUACUUUCCUCCUAUUCCCACUCUCAGCCCCAAGAAGACUUGAAAGUCUUAUCCUCCCCAACCUUCCAGCCAACUCCAACCAGACCUCCGUGAUUCACAAAUCCUAUCCUGGAGAGAUGAUUUCCCUGUGAGUGGGCCGGUCCUGAUAUCAUCCGGAAUUGCCAGAACAGUCGAUCCCCAGGAGCUUGACUUGGUGAAGGUUGGGAACUCAAGACAAUGCCAAUCAACAUUUAGCUCGGAGGAAUUUGGUCUGUGACCACAGAGCAAACAGCAAGACCAGGGACACAAGGUAGAGAAGAGUGAGUGGAAAACAUCUCAUCUGAUCUCUACACGGGCAAGUAGCCGAGCAGAGGAAGGCCCUGCUCCACAGGUUCCCCAGGAGACCCCGGGAGGGGCAGAAGCGCACCUGGAAGGAAGACACAGAAUCUUGUGAUUAUGUGAGGGAGCUUCCACUGUGACCCCACAGCAGCAGGACUUCUAUCGCCUCAUGAGCAGAGCGGAUGGAAGAGCCGGUCCAAUGGAGGAAGCAUGGAUGUGAAGCAGGACCUUUGUGUGCUCCUCCCUGAUGUUAAAAGUGCAUCAACAGCAUCCUGUCAUGCCUUUGUUCUGGACCAGCCCUGCAGCCGGAUUCCCUACUCCUAGCGUCCACACAUGCAGAUGCCCGUCUACACCACCAGGAGGACUUCUAUCCCUGAGCCUGCCCUGCUGAUGGAACCACGUACUGAGAACCCUGACGUGAGAGUCCGGUCCCAUUCCACAUCUCCUCUCAGUAGCCCUAAAGUUAGCCUCUGCCCACCUGGUGCACCUCCUGAUGGUGAUGUCCAGGAAGUGCCGACCACUGGCAUACCUCAGCCGGCACGCCGGCCUUUCGUCAGGGCUCAUAGCCUGGUUGUGCAGCAGAGAUAAAAACAAACAAACAAGGCCCUGACGAGUCUCCCUCAAAGGUCCCCACGGUCCAUGGGCUGGGAGACACCCAGGCACCACCCAAAUAUCCUGGGUGGAUAGUUCCCUAAGGGGAACCCCUGUCCUGCUGUCAGCAACACUUUGGCAGAGAAUUCCCCAAUGCCCCUCCAGACUCCAGACAAGAAAUAUGCCCAGAUGCCCCUAGACAUGUUCCUGAACCUCCAAAAGAAAGCAGGAUGGAGCCCCUCCGAACACACCCCCAAGAUCAUCCAGGGAGCCCCUGUGGGGUUUUUGGAGAAUGUGUGUCCUCCAGCAAGCAGAUGUGCACGUGGAUGCACAGCUGUGCCCCCACAGACCAGGAAGACACCUGCCCUCUUGCCAAGAAUGACCCCCAGCCCACACCUGCCACACCUCACCUGGAAACGCUGCUGCCGUGCACUGUGCCCCCUGGCCGUCCUCUGUGCGGGCCCCCACUCAGCCCCUGAGAAUGGUCUUCACCAGAUUGGACACGGGCUGCUGGAGCUCCAGGUUCCUAGCAGCUCCCUCAUUCCAUCCUCCGGAGAAGCCAGGCCCUGCUCAGGGCCCUCCUGCCACCCACAUGUUGGGCGGAGCCUGUGUCUGUGUCCCCUGGAGUGUCCACGAUGACCUGCAGCUGUCCUCAUCCUCAGAAGACACAGAGAGGGAAUGAGCCAGCUCCUGGCCUCGGUCACUUGUCCUCCACCCCACAGGACACUGACAAGUGUCUGUGGACCUGAAGAGAUGGCCCACUCCUGGACUCAUGUGGGGAAUCCGCACUUGCUCAGCUGCACCGCAUGGAAAAUUUCAGGUCCACAGCGUCCUGACUCGUGUUCCUGGGGCCCGUGCUCAGACGCCCACCCCUCAACAGACACAGUGUACUUUUCUUUAGGGAAAUCCAUGCGCUGUGGCAAAGGCUACUCUUCCCUGUGGAAUGUCAAGUUGUUCUUCUGGAGAUACGUUACCUAUGAAAUGGAGGGAGGUUUGAGUGAGCACUUGUCACUUCAAUGGAAAUAAAAUCUAAGAUGUUGAGCUCUCUUUGGUUUUCACAUGUCUGCAUUUGGGGAUUCGGCAUGGGGUACCCACUGUGUGCUCUGCAAAUGGAUACCAUACUUUUCCUGAGAUGAGUUUUUCUUGACUCUGUGGUGGUAGUUUGUGGGAAUUGCGAUGGGCAAUAUUUCACCCAUGUAGUUCAUUUUUGUCCUUGAAUGUUAUCUUAGAGUUGUGUGUAGUGUUUUAUUUCCCUUAAUAAAAUGUUAGCACCAAUGAA